rnacentral:rRNA from 1 species
GACGAACGCUGGCGGCGUGCUUAACACAUGCAAGUCGAACGAAGUGGCGAACGGGUGAGUAAUACGUGGGUAACCUGCCCUCCUUUUUGGGAUAAGCCUUGGAAACGGGGUCUAAUACCCAAUAACGGGGGAUGGGCUCGCGGCCUAUCAGCUUGUUGGUGGGGAUAUGGCCUACCAAGGCGGUGACGGGUAGCCGGCCUGAGAGGGUGACCGGGCACGAUGGGCAUGAGGUACGGCAGAGACUGCGACGUGAGGCAGCGGUGGGGGAGAUUGAGCAGUGGGGGGAAGCCGGGUGAAGCGACGCCGCGUGGGGGAUGAAGGCUGUCGGGUUGUAAAGCUAUUGCGCGGUCGAACGGGUAGGUGGAGAAGAAGCGCAGGCUAACUACGUGCCAGCAGCCGCGGUAAUAC